AAUCAGGAGCAUCAUAAUCAGAGGAGAGUCCCUUCUCCCCAGUAGUAGACUGCCGAUCGUAAUGCUAAAAUCAAAUUUGAAGUGGCAAAAAUUGAAGUGACUGGUGGCCAUUUUGUGUUUGUAUCUUUUACGAACGAAGCAUAUGAUAAUUUCAUAAAUUUCAGAUUUUCUAUGAAAGAUAAAAUAUUAUUACAAAAGUGGACUGUGAAGAGAGAGAAUUUCAAUGUAACAAAAUAUAGUAAAUUAUGUUCAAAGCAUUUUACACCAGAUUCAUUUAUUCCAUCUGUUACAAAUCAUGUUCAAUUAAGAGAGGGAGCAAUACCAUCAAUUUUUAAU